GCUGGAACACCAGCGUCACUGUCCACAGUGAAGCAAGUUUUACAUCGCCAUGGACUGAGAGGGGGCUGACCAAGAAAGAAGCCCCUAGCAGCGGCUUUUGA